rnacentral:tRNA from 1 species
CAAGGCGUAGCUACAACACAAGCAUUCAGCUUACACCUGAAAGAUAUCUACUACCUACCAGAUCGCCUUGA